UACGGAGGAGGCAAGCGUUAUCCGGAAUUAUUGGGCGUAAAGCGCGCGCAGGUGGUUUCUUAAGUCUGAUGUGAAAGCCCACGGCUCAACCGUGGAGGGUCAUUGGAAACUGGGGGACUUGAGUGCAGAAGAGGAGAGUGGAAUUCCACGUGUAGCGGUGAAAUGCGUAGAGAUGUGGAGGAACACCAGUGGCGAAGGCGACUCUCUGGUCUGUAACUGACGCUGAGGCGCGAAAGCGUGGGGAGCAAACAGG
rnacentral:rRNA from 1 species